rnacentral:rRNA from 1 species
GACAGAGGGGGCAAGCGUUGCUCGGAAUUACUGGGCGUAAAGGGCGCGUAGGCGGGAUGGCAAGUCGGUCGUGAAAUCCCUCGGCUCAACUGAGGAGCGUCGAUCGAAACUGCCGUUCUUGAGGGUUGCAGAGGAGACUGGAAUUCCCGGUGUAGCGGUGAAAUGUGUAGAGAUCGGGAGGAACACCGGUGGCGAAGGCGGGUCUCUGGGCAACUCCUGACGCUGAUGCGCGAAAGCUAGGGGAGCAAACAGG